UACGUAGGGUGCAAGCGUUGUCCGGAAUACUGGGCGUAAAGCGUGCGCAGGCGGUGCACCAAGCUCGAUGUGAAAGCCCCGGGCUCAACCUGGGAAUGGCGAUGAAGACUGCAAGGCUUGAAUCUGGCAGAGGGGGGUAGAAUUCCACGUGUAGCAGUGAAAUGCGUAGAGAUGUGGAGGAACACCGAUGGCGAAGGCAGCCCCCUGGGUCAAGAUUGACGCUCAUGCACGAAAGCGUGGGGAGCAAACAGG
rnacentral:rRNA from 1 species